CAACUUCCCUUCCCUCUGCCUGAUCUGGAGACUGAGGUAAAGCAGAGCACACCUGGAUGGGGUUGGCCCUGCGUCUCAGGCCAACAGUGUCUGUCCUCCACAGGCUCUUGUUUGCAUCAAGUGUGGGGUGCAGCAAAGUGGACUCGGGACUGGCCGAUGUCUGGCCAGAAAUGCCAGGCAAGGGAAACAGUGACUCUAGUGGGGUCAGGAGAGGGGCAUCUGCUGGCCCAGGAGCGCAAGGCAGAGGGGUGAGGCGACUCUGAGGCAGGAGGUCCAAGUUUGCUGGACAAUGGCAGAAACAGAAUUCAAACACCUGUCUUCUAGGAGAAGUUCUGGUCUCUCCUCGGUGCUGCGGCUGCCCCGGGAAGAGUUUCCAGGAGCUGACAAGCAUUCAGAUGAGUAAAGAUGGGAUCGGAUUGAGAAAAGGAGAAGGGAGAGCAUAUUCGUUCUCUUUCCACCUCCCUCCCACAGCCUUUCAUGCUGAUCUCAUCUGACGAAGCUGCCUCCUCCUCCCUGGACUCUACAAGCCCCUGUCAUGAUGUUUCUCAGAUCCUGAAUUCCAGCGAAACAGAUGAUACUAACAAGUUUGAAGACCCCCACAGAGGAAUGGAAUCAGUAUGAGAACACAGUUUCUUCAUCUCCCUGUCCCAGAACUUCACCCUGGACUCCUCGACCAAUCAACAAUCUCCACACUUCGGCCCACUCCAAAACUCCUAAAAUCCCAAGCUCCAAACUCCUCUGGGAGAUGGAUUUGAGGCUUCCUCCCGUUUCCUUGUGUGGAAGCCCUGUCAUUAAACCUC
rnacentral:lncRNA from 10 species